CCAACCUGCGCAUUCGGAAUUCGGAAUUCUAGAAUCGGAGUGUCAUAACAUUGCAAACCGAUGUUUCUUAUUGUGAAAAAAGAAUAACUGAAUGUGCAGAGUAAAGUUAUUAAGCGAAUUCCCUACCAACUUCUCUUUUGUCAAAACCUGGAUUCACAUUGCUCUACCAUCAUGAGUGAGGAAAUGGUCGUCAGUCUACGUGCACGUCGAUCAAUAAACCAACCGAUUAUCGAUUUGGUUUAUGAGCGACAGAAAAUGACUUACACACGUGAACUAGCUGGGCAAUUGGAGAUGAUUCCUUUACUCAGUGGGGAUCAUCGUUGCGAACUUUCCGUUCAGCUUUUACAACAGGUGAGGCAUUUGCACGAGCAGUCCAUGGUUUUUGAAUGUGAAAGUAUUGCGUCUCUCCUUCAAAAACCCGACGAGCGAUAUCAACUGCGACUAGAACUUGAAACAGAAAGCUAUAACUUGAACACAGUUCAAACCUUAGCGAACAACCACUUUAUGGAGCGUUUUGAUGCGUCCACAUCCGCAGAAACAGUUGUUUCGAUUUACUUGGCGAGAAUGCAAGCCAUAAGGGACCGCUUAAGUCGGAAAAUGCAAGCGAUGAGUGUUGGACGAUGCUAGUUGAAGAUUUUCUGCAGCAAAACACGAUUUAAUGGAAGGUGUUCACGAUGUCGUCAUUGACCUUUGGUUGAGACAUGUCACACAAGUGCAGGGAAUGUAUAUCAAAUGAAUAUCUUUUAAAAUUAUACAUUUUGUUUAAUUAUACUCCUACUCCUUAUACUCAUGCUCGUACAUGUCUGUUAGUUUGUGAAACCUGAACAGCUUAAAGGGAAAAAUCUUCAAGAAUACAGGCACGUACUAAACAUAGAGCAAAUUCCUACUCUUCAUAUAAAUGUUUAUUUGGAAAUAAUAAUGCAUCGUGUCUCAUUAAGAAUUCACGAAUUAUGUGUUCACAGAUAUUGAGCACCGAGUAUUCGGUAGGCUGUCGACCAUGACGAAUGUCUUGCUUUUCUUUUUGUUCUCUGAACAUGUUGAUCUAUAUGCGUAUGCUUUACAAUGUUGUACAAUCAUGAUUAUAUUUGAUUUAAUAUUAGCAUUGUAUACAUUAUUUUAUUUACCGCUUAAAUAUAUAACGAUGUAGCAAUUUAAAUUUUAACAUGUUUAACAUUAAACAUCUUUACCAUGUUUACGAUCCAAGAAUUUUAUUAAUGAAAACGCUAAAGAAACUAUUCUGAUUUUUGCUGCGUACGAUAAUUUACAAUGUUAUCUAACCUUUUAAACAUGAUUUUUAUGUUUGAAUGUAUUUUUAUUUCUGAUUUUUUUAAUUAUUCAAUUAUAUAUAGAUGAAAUUUGCAUUAACAUAGAGAUCCGGGCUUAGUGGACGCGUUAGUUCGGUGACGUUGGAAUCACUUGUCUUUUACCAUUUAUUAUCAUCUGCUUUGGAUUAACAGAGCGUUAAUCUAGAAUGACAACGCUGCAUUAUUGUUAAUAUGCUUCUGUGAAGUAUUUUCUUAAAUAAUCUUGAUAUUUCACACCCUUUCUAAAAUUAUAUAGCUAAUACUGUUUAACUAUUUAAAAAAAAAUAUGUGAUAAGAAAUCGACUGUUUUAACCAGUGUGCUUUUAUGAUUGUUAUCAAAACAUUAAUGGUUGUUCAUGGCUGAAAUUAAAUACAAUUAUUGAGUAUUAAAAUUGUUCAUGGUUCAUAUAAAUUGUUCAUGUUUUAAUAGUUUU